rnacentral:rRNA from 1 species
CCUGGCCGGGUGGUCUGCCUCACCGCACGCACUGCUCUGGCUGGGCCUUUCCUUCUGGGGAGCCGCAUGUCCUUCACUGGAUGUGUUGGGGAACCAGGACUUUUACUUUGAAAAAAUUAGAGUGUUUAAAGCAGGCAUUGGCUCGAAUACAUUAGCAUGGAAUAAUAGAAUAGGACGCGUGGUUCUAUUUUGUUGGUUUCUAGGACCACCGUAAUGAUUAAUAGGGAUAGUCGGGGGCAUCAGUAUUCAAUCGUCAGAGGUGAAAUUCUUGGAUCGAUUGAAGACUAACUACUGCGAAAGCAUUUGCCAAGGAUGUUUUCAUUAAUCAGGGAACGAAAGUUAGGGGAUCGAAGACGAUCAGAUACCGUCGUAGUCUUAACCAUAAACUAUGCCGACUAGGGAUUGGGCGAUGUUCUUUUUUGACUCGCUCAGC